rnacentral:rRNA from 1 species
AUGGAUGCGGGAUUUGAUCAUGACUCACUUGAAGGCUCUGUAGGUGUUGUCAUCAAAGCCCACAACGACAAGUUCAUAGCUGCCAGGAAUGAAAAACUUGAAAUCUGCGAUGAUGCUUUCACAACAGAAGCAAUUGCAGUUAGGUUUGGCUUAAACCUCGCCCGCACAACUGGAUGCAGCAUUAUUGAAGUAAAUUCAGAUAGCAUGGAGGUGAUUUCAACACUCAAAGAGGGAUACUCGUCUUCGGUGGUCAGUGCGAUCUUUGAUGAUUGUUAUUUCAUGUCCUUAGAUUUCAGUCAUAUUGCUUUUGAACAUUGUUAUAGAGAGAACAAUAAAGUAGCCCACGAAUUAGCUAGACUAGCUAGAUUCACUCCUCCUGAUGUAUGGAUGGAUGCAGCCCCGAUGGUUGUUAUUCCUCUCAUUGUCUCCGAUGCUACAAUUGUAGCCAAUUAA